UGUGGCCAAUCCAACUUGUGAGUCGAUCGUAAACUUUUAUUACUCAGCUGUAAAUUUUCUGCAAACAACCGGGAAUGCGAUGCAUUUGUGUAGCGUGUGCAAAUGGGCGCCACGGUCGCCAUGUUUACCCAAUUCUCUCAGAAAGGGAGCAUCCCUCGACCCCCACCCCACCCUCACCCACCGCCCACUCCCCAAAGGCCGGCUGCUCUAGACUAACACAACAAGAGCAGACAGGGGAAGUAGGGAGGGAAGAAAAGAGGGUUCGGAUGCCGAGGACCCACUGCCUUCUCUUGCUGUCCCGAAUUUUAAAUACUUUUCUUAAUAAAUGAAGAAAGAGAACACAUCUUUUCUACUGCAGUGCCCCAGGCAAGCCCCCCACUCCCCACCCAUCAAACAAGAACUGGAGUCUCAGGCUGCUGGCAACCCUCCUAACCAAGCCUAAGAUGGAGAUGUAGAUGGAGUCUAAAGGACGGAGAGCUGGACCAGGAUUUGGCAGUCCUUUGGAGGCAGCAGAAGGGGUGAGAGUUUUGUGCAGCUUCAAGGCUCCUUAAAAUAACUUUCAUUUCUCAGGUGGUCCCUUUCUCAGACAGAAUGACACUCCCUGCACCCAAGACUAUGCCUAGCUUCAGGCCAUCUUGUUUUCCAGAUAUUAAUGGCAACUUUCAAUCCUCAAAAAAAAAAAAAUUAAUUAAAAACAAUGUUAAAGCUGAA